rnacentral:rRNA from 1 species
UACGUAGGUGGCAAGCGUUUGUCCGGAUUUAUUGGGUUUAAAGGGUGCGUAGGCGGCUUUGUAAGUCAGUGGUGAAAUACUCCAGCUUAACUGGAGGGGUGCCAUUGAUACUGCGGAGCUUGAGUACAGAUGAGGUAGGCGGAAUUGACGGUGUAGCGGUGAAAUGCAUAGAUAUCGUCAAGAACACCGAUAGCGAAGGCAGCUUACUGGGCUGUAACUGACGCUGAUGCACGAAAAGUGUGGGGAUCAAACAGG